rnacentral:lncRNA from 1 species
UCUGAAAACCCUUCCUUACCGAUCACAAACUGAAUGCUCCUAGGGCACCGAAAUUCAAAGUGAACAACAGGACAGAUCCGGGGAACCCUCCUUCUGGACUCGGAUCAAAAGAAGAUGUUGUAAGUCUUCAUAGAAUUUAGCGACUCUGGCCUCAGCUGUGGAUGCGUCUGGAAAUGAAAGGAAAGUCUGAUUCUGGAACGAUCUCAUAGGAACCUGGAAUGCAAGAUCUGUGAACCAAGCAGCCCUGCUGUCUGCGGUCCAGAAAUCCGUGGUCCCCCAGCCCAGACCGGGUCACCGUGACAACGGAAGCGCCCCGAGGCGGGCGUCAGCUUCAGCCACGGCCCAGACAGCGCCCUUCUUGAGCGCACCAUUGCAAACGGCUGUCUGAAACCUGACUGCUCGGCACCGAUUCU